GAUGAACGCUGGCGGCGUGCUUAACACAUGCAAGUCGAACGAUGAAGCCCAGCUUGCUGGGUGGAUUAGUGGCGAACGGGUGAGUAACACGUGAGUAACCUGCCCUUAACUCUGGGAUAAGCCUGGGAAACUGGGUCUAAUACCGGAUAGGAGCGUCCACCGCAUGGUGGGUGUUGGAAAGAUUUAUCGGUUUUGGAUGGACUCGCGGCCUAUCAGCUUGUUGGUGAGGUAAUGGCUCACCAAGGCGACGACGGGUAGCCGGCCUGAGAGGGUGACCGGCCACACUGGGACUGAGAGACGGCCCAGACUCCUACGGGAGGCAGUAGUGGGGAAUAUUGCACAAUGGGCGCAAGCCUGAUGCAGCGACGCCGCGUGAGGGAUGACGGCCUUCGGGUUGUAAACCUCUUUCAGUAGGGAAGAAGCGAAAGUGACGGUACCUGCAGAAGAAGCACCGGCUAACUACGUG
rnacentral:rRNA from 1 species